ensembl:rRNA 5S_rRNA 5S ribosomal RNA
GCUUACGGCCACACCACCCUGAGCGCGCCCGAUCUCGUCUGAUCUCGGAAGCUAAGCAGGGUCGGCCUGGUUAGUACUUGGAUGGGAGACCGCCUGGGAAUACCAGGUGCCGUAAGCU